rfam:Oryza barthii chromosome 5, whole genome shotgun sequence.
AAAAAGACAAACCCUGAGUUUCCGCGCCAAUGUUUGACUGUCCGUCUUAUAUGAAAUAUUUUUAUAAUUAGUAUUUUCAUUGUUGUUAGAUGAUAAAACAUAAUUAAUAUUUUAUGCGUGGCUUAUCUUUUUAAUUUUUUUUCAUAAUUUUUUUAAAUAAGACGGACAGUCAAACGUUGGACACGGAAACCAGGGUUUGUCUUUUU